AUACCUUUCUCGGCCUUUUGGCUAAGAUCAAGUGUAGUGUCUGUUCUUAUUAGUUUAAUAUUUGAUAUGUGAACCAUCGGUUCACACGAUAUUAAUUCAAUUUUUUAAGAGGAAGAGUCUAUCAAGGUAGCUUGCUAUUUGGGCUCUUGAGUGUCGCCCAUGUGUUGCACUAUAUCAUGGGCCUGGCGCACCCCAC